UAGCCAACCUAGACGUCCUAAUCCACCUCUCGUAAUCCUUGAUAGUGAUCACCCUUGUUUUCAAUUUACCGAUAGUGAAUUUCUACAUGAUGUUGCAGUAGGUGAUAGAUUAGAGAUUGGAUCCGCGCAGAAAGAAGGAACUUUGGCAUAGCAGAAUCACAACCGGCAAUAGAUGAGGCAUAUGAAGAAAUGAUAGCAGAACUUNNN
rnacentral:lncRNA from 1 species